AGGGGGAUCGGAAACCGGGCGACUUGAGUGCAGAAGAGGACAGUGGAACUCCAUGUGUAGCGGUGGAAUGCGUAGAUAUAUGGAAGAACACCAGUGGCGAAGGCGGCUGUCUGGUCUGCAACUGACGCUGAGGCUCGAAAGCAUGGGUAGCGAACAGGAUUAGAUACCCUGGUAGUCCAUGCCGUAAACGAUGAGUGCUAGGUGUUGGAGGGUUUCCGCCCUUCAGUGCCGGAGCUAACGCAUUAAGCACUCCGCCUGGGGAGUACGACCGCAAGGUUGAAACUCAAAGGAAUUGACGGGGGCCCGCACAAGCGGUGGAGCAUGUGGUUUAAUUCGAAGCUACGCGAAGAACCUUACCAGGUCUUGACAUCUUGCGCUAACCUUAGAGAUAAGGCGUUCCCUUCGGGGACGCAAUGACAGGUGGUGCAUGGUCGUCGUCAGCUCGUGUCGUGAGAUGUUGGGUUAAGUCCCGCAACGAGCGCAACCCUUGUUACUAGUUGCCAGCAUUAAGUUGGGCACUCUAGUGAGACUGCCGGUGACAAACCGGAGGAAGGUGGGGACGACGUCAGAUCAUCAUGCCCCUUAUGACCUGGGCUACACACGUGCUACAAUGGACGGUACAACGAGUCGCAAGCUCGCGAGAGUAAGCUAAUCUCUUAAAGCCGUUCUCAGUUCGGACUGUAGGCUGCAACUCGCCUACACGAAGUCGGAAUCGCUAGUAAUCGCGGAUCAGCAUGCCGCGGUGAAUACGUUCCCGGGCCUUGUACACACCGCCCGUCACACCAUGGGAGUUUGUAACGCCCAAAGUCGGUGGCCUAACCUUUAUGGAGGGAGCCGCCUAAGGCGGGACAGAUGACUGGGGUGAAGUC
rnacentral:rRNA from 2 species